GGCCUUUUCUGCCGGUUCCUCCCGCUGAGGAAGUGUCGCUCAAGACGCUGGCCUACGAACUUCCUAGCAUGGGCUGUUGUGCUGGAGAGAACGAGAGCUACGAAGAGACUACAAUGCCUCUGACUUUUUCAUAGGACAGUUGGCCGAGGAAGACAAACAUAAAGAUGAAGUGCUUAAUUCAAGGUCACACAAUGUCGGGGAUGGACCUCCAGAUUUCCUUACUGACCUGCAUUAUCUUGUGGAUACCUGAGUGAAUUCCACACCACCCAUUUUAUAGAUGAAACCACUGAGACAUGGAGCAACUGACUGAGUAGUCACUGCCCCACCCCUGCCUGGAGCCUCACACAUGACUCGUCUCCUCUCAGUGACCACAGGAAAACAAGCUCAGGGCUCCCACUGAUUGUACAUUAUGGUGAGACGUGGUCUUGUAACACAGUGGUUAAGAAUGUGACUUUGGAGCCAGCCUGCUAGGGGCUGAAUUCUGACUCAGCCAUUUACUAACUGUGUGACCUUAGGCUGGAGUGCAAUGGCAUGAUCUCGGCUCACCACAAUCUCUGCUUCCUGGGUUCAAGCGAUUCUCCUGCCUCAGCCUCCCAAG
rnacentral:antisense_RNA from 1 species